CUAAAUAUGGGUAAGUUCAUACCCUAUAAUAAUCUCCUGUGUAAAGUCACUGACCCAUUUCCACUGCUGCUCUCUCAUCUGCUGCUCUGAAGCCUAAACCAUGGUGCCCAGAAUCUUCGAAGCUUAACCCUUUCCAGAGCCCUCCCUGCAUUUCCUCACCUGCCAAGCCCAGUCCCCAGGACCUACAUCCAGAGUCAGUCCCAAAAUCCACUGUGAGCUGUUACAGCAACCAAAGAAACUCAGAGACAUCAUCUUGUGCCCCAAUGAUCAUGAUCCGGUGACCCCAGAAACAUUGUCAUUCUCCUUCUGCUCUCAGCUGAUCUUUGUUUUUGAACUCCUGGGCUCAGACUCAGAAGGGACCACAGAUGAGAAGGGGUGUGAUAUUGGACUGUGGUUGUGCCAGUUGACACUCCAGAGUGGAGACCAGAUCUGCAAUCUCUUGGGGCUGUAAUAAGGGGAUCAUCCUGUCCUUGAACAAGACCCAGCUCUGUGGUCCUAACUGCACUUCUGGCCCUGCUUCCAGCACUGCUGACUGGAGCCCCUGGGCUCUCAGCACCAGGCAGUAGUGAGGCUCCAUGUCCCAGGAGUGAGGCCUGACUACCCCAGGAGUGUGCUCAAGUAAGGGCAGCCCAGGCGGUGGACAGAGUUUUGUUGUGUGUAUUCCAUCAAGAUGCAACUCAUGAGAAGCUGGAGGACCUGGAGAAGCUGGCAACUCAAAAAGGCCAAAGGGUGCAGACAAUAAAAGCCCCAGACAAGCGUAUAGAACCACACGCCGUCUUUUUACUUGCCGCCCAGGGCGGCUCAUGGAGGAGACAGGGACUCUCCCCAGGUCGAAGGCCCAAGGCCUGGAUGAUGGGGUGGGGCCCAGGAUGGGUGCCAGGGGUCUGGAGGACAUGAGUGGAUGAAGGCCCCGGGCUUCAGCUUCCUCUUGGUGGAAUGUGGGUGAUGAGGUCCGACCAUGCAGCGCUGCUGUGAGGACCGGAUGAGAGGAUCCCUGGGAGGUGGCCGGUGACUUGGUACCGUCACCUCAGUGACUGUUCUUCGUCCUCAUGGAUGUUCAGAGAAGACUUGCCCACUCUCUCCACCAGAUACAACCAAUAAAACCUCUGAAAAUUUCAGCCGAA
rnacentral:lncRNA from 1 species